rnacentral:lncRNA from 11 species
UGAAGUAGGUGCAAAGCACAUCCGUGCUGUAUGGAGAGGAAAAGAAAGAGGGCUAAACAGGCCCAGCUCUUUCAGCCGCUCUUCAUAGGGAUUCUUGUUCUCCAGACCCUGGAUCCUUUGAGUCUCCCUCCUCUGGACACAUUCCAGCUUAGAGUCAACGUCUCCCUUCAGCUGCCCAGAAUGGGACACAGUGUGAUUCCA